rnacentral:rRNA from 1 species
GACGAACGCUGGCGGCGUGCUUAACACAUGCAAGUCGAGCGGUAAGGCCCUUUCGGGGGUACGACGAGCGGCGAACGGGUGAGUAACACGUGGGUGACCUGCCCUCAGCUCUGGGAUAAGCCUGGGAAACCGGGUCUAAUACCGGAUAUGACUCCAUGACGCAUGUUGUGGGGUGGAAAGCCUUGUGCGGCUGAGGAUGGGCCCGCGGCCUAUCAGCUUGUUGGUGGGGUGAGGCCUACCAAGGCGACGACGGGUAGCCGGCCUGAGAGGGCGACCGGCCACACUGGGACUGAGACACGGCCCAGACUCCUACGGGAGGCAGCAGUGGGGAAUUUUCCACAAUGGGCGAAAGCCUGAUGGAGCAACGCCGCGUGCAGGAUGACGGCCUU